rnacentral:rRNA from 1 species
AUUGAACGCUGGCGGCAGGCCUAACACAUGCAAGUCGAACGAGUGGCGGACGGGUGAGUAAUGUCUGGGAAACUGCCUGAUGGAGGGGGAUAACUACUGGAAACGGUAGCUAAUACCGCAUACCAUCAGAUGUGCCCAGAUUGGAUUAGCUAGUUGGUGGGGUAACGGACAACCAGGGCGACGAUCCCUAGCUGGUCUUAGAGGAUGACCAGCCACACUGGAACUGAGACACGGUCCAGACUCCAACGAGGGGCAGCAUUGGGGAAUAUUGCACCAUGGGCGCAAUCCUGAUGACGCCAUGCCGCGUGUAUGAAUAAGGCCUUCGGGUUGUAAAGUACUUGCAGCGGGGAGGCGUUACCCGCAGAAGAAGCACCGGCUAACUCCGUGCCAGCAGCCGCGGUAAUUC